rnacentral:rRNA from 1 species
ACGGGAGGCAGCAGUGGGGAAUAUUGCACAAUGGGGGAAACCCUGAUGCAGCGACGCCGCGUGAGUGAAGAAGUUAUUCGUAAUGUAAAGCUCUAUCAGCAGGGAAGAAAAUGACGGUACCUGACUAAGAAGCCCCGGCUAACUACGUGCCAGCAGCCGCGGUAAUACGUAGGGGGCAAGCGUUAUCCGGAUUUACUGGGUGUAAAGGGAGCGUAGACGGUCUAGCAAGUCUGAUGUGAAAGCCCGGGGCUCAACCCCGCGGACUGCAUUUGGAACUGUUAAACUUGAGUGCAGGAGAGGAAAGUGGAAUUCCUAGUGUAGCGGUGAAAUGCGUAGAUAUUAGGAGGAACACCAGUGGCGAAGGCGGCUUUCUGGACUGUAACUGACACUGAGGCUCGAAAGCGUGGGGAGCAAACAGGAUUAGAUACCCUGGUA